GGAGGGGCCAUAGGGAGAAAGGGGCCAUAGGGAAGGAGGGAGGGGCCAUAGGGAAGGAGGGAGGGGCCAUAGGGAAGGAGGGAGGGGCCAUAGGGAAGGAGGGAGGGGCCAUAGGGAGGAAGGGGCCAUGGGGAGUUACUCUAGUCCCCCACUAGACUGUAUGGGAGCAAAGCCUUUCAUUGUAGGAGUGCUGAUCUAUGAUCAGGUUAGUAUUUUAUAUAAUAAUAAAUAAGAAGGGGAACCUGAUCCCAGAUCAGCACUCCGACAGGUGCUUUGAGAAAACAGGCCUGUAAUGUAGAGAGGUACCACAAGGGGGCGUAGGAGGGAUGUCUAUCCACUGUGUUGUCGCCUGCUACUGUGUCCAUAGAGAGAGCAAGGCAGCUUCCUUAACUUUGAUGAUGGAAGGCAGAGAUGGUCAACUGGCAGAAAAUUCAGCCCGCGGACAAUUUUAUUUGGCCCGUCAAAUUUUUUCUGAGAUAAAAAAAAUUAUAAUUUGUUUUUCGACAUAAAAGAUGAGGAAUUCACCUCAAAAUAAUUUUAUUUUAAGGAAAUCUGUUCUCAAGUAAUUCCACUGAUAAACAGAGAGAUGCGAUUGUGUAUCAAUGUAAUCAACAUUAGAUAUUUUAUUUUAAUUUAUCAAAUAUAAUAUCUGUUUGGGAUUUUUGCAUCAAUUUGUAAUCUACAAAUGAAUUUGUCUUAUGUUCUGGCCUUCCGACCGUCCACACAAUAAAAAAAACAACAUAUUGUAGCUGAAUCUAGUUGAUGAUCCUGGAUGUAACAUUUCACGAGAUUCAAGUGUGUGUGUUGUGUGGUGUGUGGUGGUGUGUGUGUGUGGUGUGGUGUGUGUGUGUGUGUGGUGUGGUGUGUGUGUGUUGUGUGUGUGUGUGUGGUGUGUGGUGUGUGUGGUGGUGUGGUGUGUGUGUGUGUGUGUGUGUGUGUGUGUGGGUGUGUUUUACUAACCCUCCUCUCUCUCUCUGUUUACAGUGUGGAACCGUCCUGAAUACAUAUGAGUACAUCGUCAGACAGGGCCAUCGCCAGGAGUCCAGAGACAUCAGUAAAGGAGUACAGGGGAACCAAGCAGCUCCUCCUAAAACCAACCUCAUGAAGAAGAAAAAGAAGAAAGUCCACAAAGUGCCGGCGGAGGUGAUCAACGACCGUUCCACUGAGACCACACACACAAAGCCCCGGCCUUCAACACUACAGAACCAGACACACAAAGCCCCAGCCUUCAACACUACAGAACCUGGUGAGACCACACACACAAAGCCCCAGCCUUCAACACUACAGAACCACACACACAAAGCCCCGGCCUUCAACACUACAGAACCACACACACAGAGCCCCGGCCUUCAACACUACAGAACCAGACACACAAAGCCCCGGUCUUCAACACUACAGAACCAGACACACAAAGCCCCAGGCUUCAACACUACAGAACCAGACACACAAAGCCCCGGCCUUCAACACUACAGAACCAGACACACAAAGCCCCGGCCUUCAACACUACAGAACCAGACACACAAAGCCCCAGCCUUCAACACUACAGAACCUGACACACAAAGCCCCAGCCUUCAACACUACAGAACCAGACACACAAAGCCCCAGCCUUCAACACUACAGAACCUGGUGAGACCACACACACAGAGCCCCAGCCUUCAACACUACAGAACCAGACACACAAAGCCCCAGCCUUCAACACUACAGAACCAGACACACAAAGCCCCAGCCUUCAACACUACAGAACCUGGUGAGACCAGACACACAAAGCCCCGGUCUUCAACACUACAGAACCAGACACACAAAGCCCCAGCCUUCAACACUACAGAACCUGGUGAGACCACACACACAAAGCCCCAGCCUUCAACACUACAGAACCAGACACACAAAGCCCCAGCCUUCAACACUACAGAACCUGGUGAGACCAGACACACAAAGCCCCGGUCUUCAACACUACAGAACCAGACACACAAAGCCCCAGCCUUCAACACUACAGAACCAGACACACAAAGCCCCAGCCUUCAACACUACAGAACCACACACACAAAAUCGAUUUCCAUUCAAAAUCCUAUUUUCCCUAACCCCUAA
rnacentral:lncRNA from 8 species